AUUGAACGCUGGCGGCAUGCCUUACACAUGCAAGUCGAUCGGCAGCACGGGGCAACCUGGUGGCGAGUGGCGAACGGGUGAGUAAUGCAUCGGAACGUACCUUUCAGUGGGGGAUAACGUAGCGAAAGUUACGCUAAUACCGCAUAUUCUGUGAGCAGGAAAGCAGGGGAUCGCAAGACCUUGCGCUGAUUGAGCGGCCGAUGUCAGAUUAGCUAGUUGGUGAGGUAAAGGCUCACCAAGGCGACGAUCUGUAGCGGGUCUGAGAGGAUGAUCCGCCACACUGGAACUGGGACACGGUCCAGACUCCGACGGGAGGCAGCAGUGGGGAAUGUUGGACAAUGGGGGCAACCCUGAUCCAGCCAUGCCGCGUGAGUGAAGAAGGCCUUCGGGUUGUAAAGCUCUUUCGGCCGGGAAGAAAUCGCACGGGCUAAUACCCUGUGUGGAUGACGGUACCGGAAUAAGAAGCACCGGCUAACUACGUGCCAGCCGCCGCCGUAAGAC
rnacentral:rRNA from 1 species